GUUAACGAUGGGCAUGCGUUCCAUUAGAUAGUUGGUGGGGUAACGGCUCACCUGGGCUACGAUGCAUAGGGGGACUGAGAGGAUAGCCCCCCACAUUGGAACUGAGACACGGACCAAACUCCUACGGGAGGCAGCAGUGAGGAAUAUUGGUCAAUGGACGAAAGUCUGAACCAGCCAUGUCGCGUGAAGGAUGACUGCUCUAUGAGUUGUAAACUGCUUUUGUACAAGAAUAAACUCAGAUAUGUGUAUCUGUUUGAAUGUAUUUUAUGAAUAAGGAUCGGCUAACUCCGUGCCAGCAGCCGCGGUAAUACGGAGGAUUCGAGCGUUAUCCGGAUUUAUUGGGUUUAAAGGGAGCGUAGAUGGAUGGAUAAGUUAGAUGUGAAAUUUUGCGGCUCAACCCUGAACUUGCCUCUGAUACUGUAUAUCUUGAGAGUAGUUGAGGCAGGCGGAAUGCAUGGUGUAGCGGUGAAAUGCUUAGAUAUCAUAAAGAACUCCGAUUGCGAAGGCAGCUUGCUAAACUAUAUCUGACAUUGAGGCUCGAAAGUGUGAGUAUCAAACAGGAUUAGAUACCCUGGUAGUCCACACAGUAAACGAUGAUUACUCGCUGUCUGCGAUAUACUGUCAGCGACUAAGCGAAAGCGAUAAGUAAUCCACCUGGGGAGUACGUUCGCAAGAGGGAAACUCAAAGGAAUUGGCGGGGGCCCGCCCAAACGGAGGAACAUGGGGUUUAAUUUGAUGAUUCGGGGGGAACCUUUCCCGGGCUUGAAAGUGCAGAUGAAUUCUGGAGAGAGGAUUAACCUGCGGGGCGUGUGUGUAGGUGCUGCAUGGUUGUCGUCAGCUCGUGCCGUGAGGUGUCGGCUUAAGUCCCAUAACGAGCGCAACCCUUGUCGUUAGUUACCAUCAGGUCAAGCUGAGCACUCUGGCGGGACUGCCGUUGUAAGACGAGAGGAAGGUGGGGAUGACGUCAAAUCAGCACGGCCCUUACGUCCGGGGCUACACACGUGUUACAAUGGUAGGUACAGAGGGCAGCUACCCAGCGAGGGGAUGCCAAUCUCCAAAGCCUAUCUCAGUUCGGAUUGGAGUCUGCAACCCGCCUCCAUGAAGUUGGAUUCGCUAGUAAUCGCGCAUCAGCCACGGCGCGGUGAAUACGUUCCCGGGCCUUGUACACACCGCCCGUCAAGCCAUGGGAGCCGGGGGUACCUGAAGUUCGUAACCGCGAGGAUCGCCCUAGGGUAAAACCGGUAACU
rnacentral:rRNA from 1 species